GUCGUACGCACAGCAAUGUGAGUGGCGCAAGGGUGAGUAAUGCGAAGGUAACCAACCCUGAAGUUGGGCAUAGCCGCGGGAAACUGCGGGUAAUUCCCAGCGACGUUGCGGGAUGGCAUCAUUUUGCAACCAAAGGUGUGAUUCCGCUUUAGGACGGGCCUUCGUGGUAUUAGGUAAUUGGUGAGGUAACGGCUCACCAAGCCUACGAUGCCUACCGGGUGUGAGAGCAUGACCCGGCACACUGGAACUGAGACACUGUCCAGACACCUACGGGUGGCUGCAGUCGAGAAUCUUCGGCAAUGGGCGAAAGCCUGACCGAGCGACGCCGCGUGAGGGAUUGAAGGCCUUCGGGUUGUAAACCUCUUUCGUAGAGGAGGAAGGGGCUGUGAAAAACAGUCCUUGACCUAUUCUAGGAAGAAGCUUAGGCUAAGUUCGUGCCAGCAGCCGCGGUAAGACGAACCAAGCGAACGUUAUUCGGAAUUACUGGGCU
rnacentral:rRNA from 1 species